GCUCUACCCCCUGGUAAAUGCCGUCAAAUGCAGGCGGAAUGCGCUUUGCAUUCGUAAUGAGCUUUGACUUUUGGCUUCAGUUGCAUUUUCGAGCUUCACUUGCAGUUCGCAGGGAAAAUGUCGCAGGAAAUGGGAUUUGCGGUUGUCUUGCGGCUUUCCCUUUGUUGUCAUUGCGGUUUGCGGCUAUGUUGAAUCAAGUGUUAUGAUAGGUAUCCUCGCUAUUUGCUUGCCAACAAUGCCUGCAGCCAUUAAGCUCAAGAAUACCCAAAAGUGAGUGCCAUAAAGUAGGCAACACUUUCGCGGCUGCUCUUUAAAAACGCCACCAAAAGUGGAACAUAGAAAAAACCGUUUAUAGGAGCUGUAGUAAAACUUUUUCUGCUGUUUGUUCUUAUUUUAGAUUCUAAAUAUAGACGAAAAGUUUAAAGUUGAACCGCUUCCCCCGCCACCGUCAUGAAUUCCCACAACUGACGUCAGACGUUCGGCUACAAAAAGUGCAAUAUUUGAAUAUUCAAUUAAUUUAUGCAUUAUCCAGACACACACACACACCCAUACACCCAAACACACAAACGGAGUGGCAAGUUAGUGGGUGGUUCGAAAAUUCCUUUGCAUAGCCGAGAGGCGUCGAGUGCAAAACACAGAGAUUUCAGCUCGAGCGCCUGUAUGUAUGCACUUUUGAGUGAAAGUGUGGGUGUUCCUGAUUUAGUUCAGUGUUGGUGGUCCUGAGUCGACUGUAUCCGCGAGUGUAUGUAAGUAUCUGUGUGAGGUAGCCACGCACCGCGACCAGAAGAAGAGAACACGCCCCCAGUUGGCAACCAGUGAGCGAAUCGACCCUCGACCAACCCCUUGGUUCAAGUUCAAUGCAAUCUGCACCCACUGUCGCCGGCGACCUUGAAGAUUUAACCACGCGAAGCGGAGGAAGAGAAAGCGGUGGAACAUGCUAGCAACAAUAAUGAACACGGUAAAACCCGGCAAUUAAAGCCAGCACGUCACAAAUUGUUUAAUUUGCAGAUAAUAUGCAGGGGAUAACAUUUAAAACAACCUUUGAAACAAACAAUUGAUUUCUUUCGGGGUUUUCCCCCUCAUGGCGGAAUAGCCGAUUAUGCCAGGGAAAUUGGCGGGAAACCGAGAAAACCAAACUAAUUCUGUGAUACAACAAACAACGUUUGUCUAUGUCUUUUUCUCUCAACCCUCAUAGCUUGCUGUUUAAUUAGUUUAUGAACUUCCACAACAACAAGUUGUGCAAUGCCAGGAAAAUCUGAGGAAAAUUAGAUAAGAACAACCACAAGUGGCGGAAAAGCUGAUUCACUUGAGGCGCUGUUCGCUUAUAACAAACAUAUCCGAUGAAUAGUUUUGCUUACAGUCUGCAUGUUUUAAAAGAAUAUCUUCUUAUUCUGAUAGUGCAUUUAGAUCUAUUUGAUCUAUAGAAAUUCGCUUAAAAACCUAGUUAAUAUGGUAGAAUAAAUGAUUAAUAUAAUAAUUUCUAGAUACAAACCGAUCUUGAAGAUUGAAUAACGCGUGUUUGCAUUACAGCACCUGGCAGAUUGUUUUUUUUUCAUCACACGCGUCGUAUGCGUAAUAUUUAGAGUCAAUAACCAAGGGUGUAAACAAUGGAUGAACAACCGAACAAAAACUCAUUUAAAAAACAUAGCUACACACAUUUCCAAAUGUCAAAAAGAGAUGGAGACUCUCCCGAGUAAAUUCUAAAUGCUGUAAAUUAGCAUUUAUUGCCAGUGGGACAACUAGAACGAGCUGAAAAAGUGAUACGGGCCACAGGAAUAUUUCGAUAGAAUCAUCUAUACGGCUGGAAAAUGCUCCAGUAACGUGCAUAGGCAGGCUGCACUGUAACGCAAGCAGAGCGAGCGACAAAAGUGAUAAACAAACAUGACAAAGUCAACAAUUCCCGGUUUCAACCGCACACAAUCCAAUUAGAAUAAGCUUGAAGAGCAAUCAGCAGAGCGAGUGAGAAACAGCGAGAUCCACAGAGAGAGCGCGAAUUUCGCAAUAAUAAUCACAAUCACACUGAAAAAUAUCACAAAGCUAAUAUGUGUCUCGUAAAUAACGAAAUGAUCUUCAUCCAAAAAUUUUUCAAGUCUCACAUUAAAACUGACAUAACUAAUCUCAUGCGAGUGAAUUCCAGAUCGAUGACCACUGCUGACAUUAUUCUCAGUGCAUUGGAGCUGGCUGCAUUAUGACAUCACACCAGCGAUAAGAGCGAGAGGAGCGAUGGCGAUUCUAAUGAUCGCCCGCUGAGAAUGAAACAAAACUGUACCCUGCACACCAUAUGGAUAGACACACUGAAUGUGCGGAGUGUAUUUAAGCGGCUUAAUGAACCAUUUGGAAACUUUCACAGUCAUCAAACAUUAUGAUGUUGGCGAUUUUUGGCACUCCACGCCACAAGUGGAACAAAUCAAGUAUUUUUUUUUCGCCUUUUGGAUCUUUUAUUUUUUGGCUAUUUUCAAGUACCAUAUUUUGAGUCUUUGAAAUCGAGAAUGCCCUGACUUUAAAUAUAAAACAUGUUUCUCAA